rnacentral:rRNA from 1 species
AACGAACGCUGGCGGCAUGCCUAACACAUGCAAGUCGAACGAGACCUUCGGGUCUAGUGGCGCACGGGUGCGUAACGCGUGGGAAUCUGCCCUUGGCUUCGGAAUAACAGUUAGAAAUGACUGCUAAUACCGGAUGAUGUCUUCGGACCAAAGAUUUAUCGGCCAGGGAUGAGCCCGCGUAGGAUUAGGUAGUUGGUGGGGUAAAGGCCUACCAAGCCGACGAUCCUUAGCUGGUCUGAGAGGAUGAUCAGCCACACUGGGACUGAGACACGGCCCAGACUCCUACGGGAGGCAGCAGUGGGGAAUAUUGGACAAUGGGCGCAAGCCUGAUCCAGCAAUGCCGCGUGAGUGAUGAAGGCCUUCGGGUCGUAAAGCUCUUUUACCCGGGAUGAUAAUGACAGUACCGGGAGAAUAAGCUCCGGCUAACUCCGUGCCAGCCGCCGCAGUAA